rnacentral:sRNA from 1 species
ACAGACAGAAAGAAUUUACUUUCAGGUUUUCUUACCUAAAGGGAGCAAAGAGAAGAGCAAACCAAUGUUCUUUUGCCACCGAUGGAGCAUUGGAAAGGCCAUAGACUUUGCCGCUUCUCUGGCCAGGCUUAAAAAUGACAAUAACAAAUUUACAGCUAAGGUAACAUCUCAUUAUAAUAAUAUUUCUAUAUUAAUAAAGGUUUUAUGAUGCUCCAUUCAAGCAUUUUUAUUUAUUACAGUAUGACUUACUUCUCCCUUCACAGAAAUUAAGGCUGUGUCACAUUACUUCAGGAGAAGCCUUACCCUUGGAUCAUAGUUUGGAAACCUGGAUUGCUAAGGAGGAUUGUCCUUUAUAUAAUGGUGGAAAUAUAAUCUUGGAAUAUCUUAAUGAUGAAGAACAAUUCUGUAAAAAUGUUGAAUCUUACUUGGAAUAGUCAUUCAAAGAUUCAAGUCAGAAAUCACAGGGAAAAUUCUAUUACAUGUUUAAGUCCAUUUAUUUUACUACAAAUAAUAUUUUUGUAAUUUUUAAAAGUUGCUUUUUAACUUAUUUCCCCUUAUGUCACAUUUUAAAUUAUGAGUUUUCUAUUAGAGAUUUUUGGUUUUAAGUUUAAUUGUGUACGGAUCCUCAAUUAUUAGCAAAUUCUUAUAUUUAAUUAGCUUUCAUUAGUUUAUGCUGUAGUGACAACAACAAAGAUGUAUUUCCUGGUGGGGGAUGUCAGCUGUUGAUUGGCUGUGACACUGCCUUGUGUCAUCUUCUUACCACGAUCAAAGGCGAAGGAAGGGAUCUCUUUUGGGACAUUGUGAUUGUUUUAGCAGAGAGAGAAAGAGAUGAAAUACGCUUCAGUUUUCUCUUAAAAGAUGCAUGUAUCAUACGUGCUUUAAGCAAGUCAUGUGGCCAAGCCUAGCAUCAUGGAGCCAGAAAGUAUAGCCUUGCUGUCUGUCUACAUCAUGAUGUAUAAAUUGAUAUAUC